UACGUAGGUGACAAGCGUUGUCCGGAUUUACUGGGCGUAAAGAGCGCGCAGGCGGUCGUUCAAGUCGAGUGUGAAAGCCCCCGGCUCAACUGGGGAGGGUCAUUCGAUACUGAUCGACUCGAAGGCAGGAGAGGGUAGUGGAAUUCCCGGUGUAGUGGUGAAAUGCGUAGAUAUCGGAAGGAACGCCGGUGGCGAAAGCGGCGCACUGGAUCCCUACUGACGCUGAGGCGCGAAAGCCAGGGGAGCAAACGGG
rnacentral:rRNA from 1 species